rnacentral:piRNA from 1 species
UCCUAGGGCCACAUUUAGCUGAUAACUUU